rnacentral:rRNA from 1 species
AUUGAACGCUGGCGGCAGGCCUAACACAUGCAAGUCGAGCGGAUGAAGGGAGCUUGCUCCUGGAUUCAGCGGCGGACGGGUGAGUAAUGCCUAGGAAUCUGCCUGGUUGUGGGGGAUAACGUCCGGAAACGGGCGCUAAUACCGCAUACGUCCUGAGGGAGAAAGUGGGGGAUCUUCGGACCUCACGCUAUCAGAUGAGCCUAGGUCGGAUUAGCUAGUUGGUGGGGUAAAGGCCUACCAAGGCGACGAUCCGUAACUGGUCUGAGAGGAUGAUCAGUCACACUGGAACUGAGACACGGUCCAGACUCCUACGGGAGGCAGCAGUGGGGAAUAUUGGACAAUGGGCGAAAGCCUGAUCCAGCCAUGCCGCGUGUGUGAAGAAGGUCUUCGGAUUGUAAAGCACGUUAAGUUGGGAGGAAGGGCAGUAAGUUAAUACCUUGCUGUUUUGACGUUACCAACAGAAUAAGCACCGGCUAACUUCGUG